AGAGAAUGAUCUAUAAAUAGGGGUUGGAGCAGAAGACAGCUUAACACAUCGAAACAACAAAAUGAAGGUCAUUGCCUUAAUUUGCAUCCUUUUAGUUUCAGAUUUUUUCAUCCCACCAACUGAAGUUGGGGCUCGGCCAUUGGUUGAGAUGUCUCACCUAGAAAAGGGUGGCGUAAUUGGUUUUAAUCCUAAAGCUCCAGCUAUUAGUUGCGGCAAGAAUGGUGAACCAUACAAGACUUGCAUCCCCAAAAAACCACGGCCAUGCAAGAUCAACAAUCGCUGCUCAAGACAACCUCCCACGCCUUAAUUAAUUAGAUAGUAUAUAUGCCUCCUAUCCGCCUUUAUGGAUUACCGAUAUUAGUUAAUGGAUAUUUCUUAGAUAUGGAUGUUGUACUGGAAUAUAAGUUAAACUGGGUCUUUCAAUUCACACGAUUUCAGUAUUAAAACAACGAAUAAAACAUCAAAUUAAUGAGUCUAUAAUAUAUAGAUUUUGCCUUUUAA